rnacentral:rRNA from 1 species
UACGGUAGGCAGCGAGCGUUGUUCGGAGUUACUGGGCGUAAAGGGUGUGUAGGCGGUUGUUUAAGUUUGGUGUGAAAUCUCCCGGCUCAACUGGGAGGGUGCGCCGAAUACUGAAUGACUUGGAGUGCGGGAGAGGAGAGUGGAAUUCCUGGUGUAGCGGUGAAAUGCGUAGAUAUCAGGAGGAACACCGGUGGCGAAGGCGGGUCUCUGGGCAGUAACUGACGCUGAGGAGCGAAAGCGUGGGUAGCAAACAGG